UUGCUCAAACUCGACCAAUGUUCACUUUCCAUCUCUUCUUGAACCACAAAUCUUCUAAACACCCCAAAUCGCUCCAUAGGACACUCCAAUACCUGAUAAAGACAUAUGAAUGCAAUAUGGGUCCUAAAGAUGCUUAAUUUCUAAUCUAUAUGAUCAAUAUGUACAAAAUGGAUGGUUAAAACAAUGUAAAUAUGCAAGAUGUCAACUCCCCCAAACUUGUUCUUUACUUGUCCUCAAGUGAACUUGCAAGAACUCAUAAGGGAGAGAGGUUUGAAGGUGGGAACUCAUAGCCAAAAGAAACGCUUCCUAGCACUCAACUUAACAUCCUAAAGAAACAUAGCAAAUAGCAUGAUCAACUCUCUUAUUAUACUCUAGCUUCUCUAUGCCUAUCCAUACUCUUAUGCCUCUACACAAGUUGCAAUAUUAAUCAACUAACAAGUUCCUUCAACCAGCUCUCACAUUGAUUCACACACACACAAGGUGAAUUCUCACAAAUGGGCACAUGAUCUCAAUCAUUUGGCUAGAUAAGCAAUUGUCUAAUAUGAAUGAAGAGAAGGAUUCAAAUAUUUUCAUUUCAAGGUGGUUAUCACUCAAAAACAAGGAGCUUGAUCAUUAUGCAAAAUUUAUCUAAGACUAGAAGCAAUUCAUGCAUACAUAGAUCCAUUCUCAUCAUUCUACCAUUCUCCUAAGUGAUUACAAGUUCUACCCUUUUCAUCUCCAUCUUAAAGCCAAAAUAACACCCACUCACAUCA
rnacentral:lncRNA from 1 species